GCCGGAGUGGCGAAAUGGUAUACGCGCUAGUUUUAGGAACUAGUGGGGCAACCCGUGGAGGUUCGAGUCCUCUCUCCGGCA
rnacentral:tRNA from 1 species